rnacentral:rRNA from 1 species
CGUAGGGUGCAAGCGUUGUCCGGAAUUAUUGGGCGUAAAGAGCUCGUAGGCGGUCUGUCGCGUCUGCUGUGAAAACUCAGGGCUUAACCCUGAGCUUGCAGUGGGUACGGGCAGACUAGAGUGCAGUAGGGGAGGACUGGAAUUCCUGGUGUAGCGGUGAAAUGCGCAGAUAUCAGGAGGAACACCGGUGGCGAAGGCGGGUCUCUGGGCUGUAACUGACGCUGAGGAGCGAAAGCGUGGGGAGCGACAGGAUU